rnacentral:lncRNA from 1 species
UCCCCAUCUGGCACUGCAUGGUCACCGCAGCUACCCGGACACUCCCGGACCUCCCGGACCUAGGCACCUCGAGGUGUCAGCGCUGCUCUGCUCUACAACGGUCGCCCCAAGCGACAACCACAAUGCUCUGUGUGGGAGUGAGACCCGGCCUCCGCCAGCCCAGGGACCAGGAAGUGGCAGAGACUGUGGGAGUCAGUGGGCCAGCGUUCCCCCUGGGUAGGUGUAUGGAAACUGCAAACACGGUUGCAUCAGGAGAUCUUUCAGGAAGACCUGCCUUUGCUUUUUCCUCUGCUGCUAAUUUGAAGCAAGAGUCCUUUGCUCCCAGAGUCAGGCUGCACUCCGAACCAUUGUUGGAUCAGUCUGGAAACUGUUGCUGAGGAAGUCUGGAAACUGUGGCUGACCCAUUGUCC